rnacentral:sRNA from 1 species
UGGCAUUACUUUCGGGCUUGUGUGUAUAGGCCUUGCAUUUGGCGCACUCGUUGGCUUACCAGCAAUGGCCGCUGUGAAAGACAGCGCUACCUCUCACAGCUUUGAAGAACUAAUUGUCUUCACAGGGGCAGUAUUGGCUGUCGGCUCGGUCUGCAUGAUCUUCGCCCGCUAUAUGAAAGGCGGAAUCAAUAUCUGGACCAAAGUCUAAAGAAAGGCAGAUGGACUUUCUCCUAUGUACCCCGCGAACAUAAAGUGUUUGCCUCCUCCAAACAGGGACAGGUUAUUUGAUUUUCAUUGCAAUUUUCCUUACAAUUUUCCUUUGUUUAUCAGGGUAGCCCACUAGUUGCUUAGGGAGUUUAAUAGCUAACGGGUGGAAUUGGCAUUGAAGGCUGGACGUUCAGGAAAUAAGGAAUAACCCACAAAUGAGAAAGCAACAAAGAAGAGAUAAAAUAAAAGCGAAAAAGAGAAUUAGUACAGUUUCACAAGCAGAU